rnacentral:lncRNA from 1 species
AGGAGGUGAUGUGGUGGUUGAUAUCGGCGAGUUUGCUGGAGCGGAAGCUGGAGGUGAAGUAGAGGUUGAUGCCGGUGAAAUUGAUGGUGAGGGUGAGUUGUUUGAAGGGUAUGGAGAUAGUGGAGAUGGUGCUAUUCCAUUUCCAGAGGGUGUUUGUGCUGUCGAUGGAGGCUGAGAGGAUAUUUGAGGUGAUUGGGAAGAUGAUGGAGAAGAGGUGGUUGGUGGAGUAUGAAUGUAAGGUGGUUGAGAUGUUGGUGAAUGAGUGUUUGGUGGUGUUUGAAUAUAUGGAGGUUGUGAGAUUGGUGAAGGAGCACCUGGAGGUGUUUGAGAAGAUGGAGAUGGAGUACUUUUUGGAGGGGCUGAAACGUAUGGUGGUUGUGAUGUUGGUGAAGAAGGAGAGUUUGGAGGUGUUUGAAUGUAUGGUGGUUGUGAUCUUGGUGAAGAAGUGUUUGGUGGUGUUUGAAUGUAUGGAGGUUGUGAUGUUGGAGAAUCGUUUUUUGGAGGUGUUUGAAUAUAAGGUGCUUGUGAUGAUGUUGGAGAAGGAGUGUUUGGUGGUGUUGGAACAUAUGGAGGUUGAGAAAUUGGAGAAGGGGUUUUUGGAGGGUGGCUGCUAGGGGAAGGAGUAGUUGGAGGUGUGUAAGGAACACUAGGAGAAGGAGAUUUUGGUGGUGUAAUUGGUACAUAAGGUGGUUGAGAGAUAGGAGAAGGCGUUUUGGGAGGAGUUGGUGUAUAUGGUGGUUCAUUUUUAGGGGAAGGAGCUUUUGGAGGAGUGUAAGGAUGAUUUGGAGGGGUGUGAAUAGGAGAGGGAGUGUUUGGUGGUGUAAUUG